rnacentral:misc_RNA from 1 species
CAAACCCUGCCCUCCAGCUCUAGUGGACAGCUAGCAUGCAAAUAUAUAAGUGUCAUUGUUGAAAGCAUCAAUAUAGUUCGUCUCUCCGUCACCUGGCAGCUGUCAUCCAAAGAGGUGUUCACAAACAAUUUAAACCCAAUUAACAGCAGGAAUAAAUUUCAGCAAAAUAAACAAUGAUUUUAACAUUAAGAUACAUGAAUAGAAUCUGAAUAUUAUAAAGUCCCAAAGACUAAUGUUGGCUACUAGAAAACUAGCCCAGCCUAAAAAUCCAAUGUGGACUAUCUUGCUGUACCAAUACAUGGAAAGGGAGGAAACCACCAAGAAAGCAAUGGAAGGCAUUUACAACUUCCUCGUAGAUCACCCACCUUAUGCUGCUCCAACCAGAACACGUUUAACCGGGAAGCUCUUAAGAUCACGUGUCACUAUUUCUGCUACAAACAAUUGCUGAUGGUAUCCAACCCAAGCACAUUUAACCUGGAAGCUCUUAGAAUCAUGUGCUACCAUUCCUACUAAAAGCAACUGCUCAUGGCAAAGGAACAUCUUAUUUCCUUUAUAUUACAGGGUCUUGCAUCUCACGUGUUGCGAGAGGCAUAAGGGCUUCACAAUGCUUCUUCAUGGCACAUCGUCCGGCAGAGCGAUUGGUCCCCAGGGUACCCUGCCCAUACAUACAUGUCAUACCCAAUUGUGCAUUACGAGUUAACUAACAUGGAAAACAUAUAGAAUUUAAAUUGCAAUACCUUUACUCUAUUAAAGUAAAUAAAAUAAUUAACGUGCUAAAUUCACCAAUAUUAUUCCAAAUCCAAACAUUUAAAGAAAUAGAAUUGAUUGCUGGCCCCCCGUUUGACCAGCAAUCUCUCCCUCAGUAAUGAUCAUCAUACUCCAAGUUGACAACCUGCUUUGAUACUAGCUGACAGCUUCCUAUCAAGUCACCCAUCCUUGCAUUGCUCCAACUCGAACAUGAUUAACCUGGGAGGUAUUAGGAUCAAGUGCCACCAUUUCUAUAAAAAAAAAAUGCUAAUGGUAAAGGCACAUCCUAUUUCUUUUAAGGAAUUGUAAUGUCUCACAUCUCAAAUGCUGCGAGCGAGUAUAGGGGCUUUGCAAUUCACUUUUUGGCAUGUCGUUCAACAGGACAGUUAGUCCUCAAAGUACCAUGCCUCAUAUGACCAACAAAAGGGAAAAAAAAAGAAAACACUACUGCAGGAAGGGUAGUUAGAAACUCAAACAACAUUUAAAACCAUGACAAUAUGGACAAUUUCUAAUCCCAAUUUAUUCACCCAUUCAUGAAUAAUUAGGUGCAUUUUAAAAAAUGAUCCAGUUAAGAUUAUAAAAUUCUCCCAUGCAAAUGAAUUCGCGUGAACACAUUGAGAGAGGGAGGCGGCUACUAUGCAUCUAGUCCACCAAUGUGUUCAAUUUUUCAUUUUUUCCAUGGACAGGGGGACGAAAGGACUUUGGGGGAAGCUCCAAUGUGUCAACAAAUAAUAAAAGCUUAAUCAGUUUAUGCAUGAGAAAAUCAUCUCCAUACUUUACUCACCUGCCCCGCUUCAGGCACAAUGGGAAAAAUAACAGUUUCACCCAUCACUCUCUCACCGUCUCACACAAAUUUAUUCCCUUUGCUUCUUUUCGCAAAAAAAAAUGAUAAUAUCCAGGUCAGUCUCCCUAAUACCUGACCUAUAUUCAAAACUUACUUCAGGUCAAACUCGUAUUACAUACACCCACAACUACACAGUGGAUUUCAUCACAAUCAAGGUGCAUACAUACCAACCAGGGCAAGUAAGAUUGCCACCUUCACUCCAUAACAAUGCUUCACACAAUUGGUUGCAUGCGUCCCAGCAUGCAUCCCAGAUGUCAAAUAAUAAGUGAGAUAAGUAGAUAAAGUACCUCCCAUCAAGUCUUUUGUAUGUC